rnacentral:rRNA from 1 species
GACAAACGCUGGCGGCGUGCCUAAUACAUGCAAGUCGAACGACGAAAGCCUUCGGGCAAGUAAGAGUGGCGCACGGGCGAGGAACACGUAGAUAAUCUGCCCUUCAGUGGGGAAUAACUCUCCGAAAGGAGUGCUAAUACCGCAUAAGACCACAAGCUCUGCGGAGCAAGGGGUUAAAGGAUUGAUUCGCUGAAGGAUGGGUCUGCGUCCGAUUAGCUAGUUGGUGAGGUAAUGGCUUACCAAGGCAAUGAUCGGUAGAUGGUCUGAGAGGAUGAUCAGCCGCACUGGAACUGAGACACGGUCCAGACUCCUACGGGAGGCAGCAGUAGGGAAUAUUGCAAAAGGGGGGAAACCCUGAUGCAGCAACGCCGCGUGAGUGAUGAAGGCUCUAGGGUCGUAAAGCUCUGUCGUAUGGGAAGAAAAAAAUGUCGGUACCAUACAAGAAAGGACCGGCCAACUUCGUGCCAGCCGCCGCCGUAA